rnacentral:rRNA from 1 species
GACGAACGCUGGCGGCGUGCUUUACACAUGCAAGUCGAACGGUAACAGGCCUUCGGGCGCUGACGAGUGGCGAACGGGUGAGUAAUGCAUCGGAACGUGCCCAGUCGUGGGGGAUAACGCAGCGAAAGCUGUGCUAAUACCGCAUACGAUCUGUGGAUGAAAGCGGGGGACCUUCGGGCCUCGCGCGAUUGGAGCGGCCGAUGUCAGAUUAGGUAGUUGGUGGGGUAAAGGCCCACCAAGCCGACGAUCUGUAGCUGGUCUGAGAGGACGACCAGCCACACUGGGACUGAGACACGGCCCAGACUCCUACGGGAGGCAGCAGUGGGGAAUUUUGGACAAUGGGCGCAAGCCUGAUCCAGCAAUGCCGCGUGCAGGAAGAAGGCCUUCGGGUUGUAAACUGCUUUUGUACGGAGCGAAAAGGCUCCCUCUAAUACAGGGGGCUCAUGACGGUACCGUAAGAAUAAGCACCGGCUAACUACGUGCCAGCCGCCGCGGUAA